UACGGAGGGGGCGAGCGUUAUUCGGAAUUAUUGGGCGUAAAGGGCGCGUAGGCGGCCUUGUAAGUCAAAGGUGAAAUCCCUCGGCUCAACUGAGGAACUGCCUUUGAAACUGCAAGGCUUGAGCCGGGGAGGGGGUAGCGGAAUUCCCAAUGUAGCGGUGAAAUGCGUAGAUAUUGGGAGGAACACCAGUGGCGUAAGGCG
rnacentral:rRNA from 1 species